GUUAUUUUGGCAGAUUAGUGUGUUAAAUUUAGAAUUUAAAAAUAUGAUUUAUAUCAUAAAUAAUA
rnacentral:tRNA from 1 species